rnacentral:rRNA from 1 species
CCUUUAUGACUUGGGCUACACACGUGCUACAAUGGCAGGUACAGAGGGCAGCUACAGAGUGAUCUGAUGCAAAACUCAAAAAGCCUGUCCCAGUUCGGAUUGCACUCUGCAACUCGAGUGCAUGAAGUUGGAGUUGCUAGUAAUCGUGGAUCAGAAUGCCACGGUGAAUGCGUUCCCGGGUCUUGUACACACCGCCCGUCACACCAUGGAAGUUGGCAAUACCCGAAGCCUGUGAGCUAACCUUUUGG